GACGAACGCUGGCGGCGUGCUUAACACAUGCAAGUCGAACGGAAAGGCCCUGCUUUUGUGGGGUGCUCGAGUGGCGAACGGGUGAGUAACACGUGAGUAACCUGCCCUUGACUUUGGGAUAACUUCAGGAAACUGGGGCUAAUACCGGAUAGGAGCUCCUGCUGCAUGGUGGGGGUUGGAAAGUUUCGGCGGUUGGGGCUGGACUCGCGGCUUAUCAGCUUGUUGGUGGGGUAGUGGCUUACCAAGGCUUUGACGGGUAGCCGGCCUGAGAGGGUGACCGGCCACAUUGGGACUGAGAUACGGCCCAGACUCCUACGUGAGGCAGCAGUGGGGAAUAUUGCACAAUGGGCGGAAGCCUGAUGCAGCAACGCCGCGUGCGGGAUGACGGCCUUCGGGUUGUAAACCGCUUUCGCCUGUGACGAAGCGUGAGUGACGGUAAUGGGUAAAGAAGCACCGGCUAACUACGUG
rnacentral:rRNA from 1 species